rnacentral:rRNA from 1 species
CGGGUGAGUAACACGUGGAUAACCUACCUAUAAGACUGGGAUAACUUCGGGAAACCGGAGCUAAUACCGGAUAAUAUUUUGAACCGCAUGGUUCAAAAGUGAAAGACGGUCUUGCUGUCACUUAUAGAUGGAUCCGCGCUGCAUUAGCUAGUUGGUAAGGUAACGGCUUACCAAGGCAACGAUGCAUAGCCGACCUGAGAGGGUGAUCGGCCACACUGGAACUGAGACACGGUCCAGACUCCUACGGGAGGCAGCAGUA